CCAAUAGCGUAUAUUAAAGUUGUUGCAGUUAAAAAGCUCGUAGUUGAAUUUCGGGAUCGACGGGUCGGUCGCGCCUCUGGUGUGUACUGGCCCUGUCGGUUUCUCCCUUCUGACGAACUACGAUGUCAUUAAUUUGGUGUCGUAGGGAAUCAGGACUGUUACUUUGAAAAAAUUAGAGUGUUUAAAGCAGGCAUUCGCUUGAAUACAUUAGCAUGGAAUAAUGAAAUAGGACGUUUGAUCUUAUUUUGUUGGUUUCUAAGAACGACGUAAUGAUUAAUAGGGAUAGUUGGGGGCAUUAGUAUUCAAUUGUCAGAGGUGAAAUUCUUGGAUUUAUUGAAGACUAACUACUGCGAAAGCAUUUGCCAAGGAUGUUUUCAUUAAUCAAGAACGAAAGUUAGGGGAUCGAAGACGAUCAGAUACCGUCGUAGUCUUAACCAUAAACUAUGCCGACUAGGGAUCGGAUGAUGUUAAUUUUUUAAUGACUCAUUCGGCGCCUUACG
rnacentral:rRNA from 1 species